rnacentral:rRNA from 1 species
UGGGGAAUAUUGGACAAUGGGCGAAAGCCUGAUCCAGCCAUGCCGCGUGUGUGAAGAAGGUCUUCGGAUUGUAAAGCACUUUAAGUUGGGAGGAAGGGCAGUUACCUAAUACGUAUCUGUUUUGACGUUACCGACAGAAUAAGCACCGGCUAACUCUGUGCCAGCAGCCGCGGUAAUACAGAGGGUGCAAGCGUUAAUCGGAAUUACUGGGCGUAAAGCGCGCGUAGGUGGUUUGUUAAGUUGGAUGUGAAAUCCCCGGGCUCAACCUGGGAACUGCAUUCAAAACUGACAAGCUAGAGUAUGGUAGAGGGUGGUGGAAUUUCCUGUGUAGCGGUGAAAUGCGUAGAUAUAGGAAGGAACACCAGUGGCGAAGGCGACCACCUGGACUGAUAUUGACACUGAGGUGCGAAAGCGUGGGGAGCAAACAGGAUUAGAUACCCCCGUAGUCCCUGAGCGGGCUGGCAAGGCGCAU